CAGCCGCCGCGGUAAUACCGGCGGCCCGAGUGGCGGUCACUAUUAUUGGGCUUAAAGCGUCCGUAGCCGGGGUGGGAAGUCCUCCGGGAAAUCUGGCCGCUUAACGGUCAGAAUGCCGGAGGAUACUCCCAGCCUAGGGAGCGGGGGAGGCCGAGGGGAUUCCCGGAGUAGGGGGGAAAUCCUAUAAUCCCGGGAGGACCACCUGUGGCGAAGGCGCUCGGCUGGAACGCGUCCGACGGUGAGGGACGAAGGCCAGGGGAGCAAACCGGAUUAGAUACCCGGGUAGUCCUGGCGGUAAACGAUGCGGACUUUGUGUCGGACAAGCUAUGAGCUUGUCCGGUGCCGGAGGGAAACCGUUAAGUCCGCCGCCUGGGGAGUACGGCCGCAAGGCUGAAACUUAAAGGAAUUGGCGGG
rnacentral:rRNA from 1 species